CUACCCUUCGGAACACAAUACCCUCGGGAAACUGAGGCUAAUAGUGUAUACCGCAUCCCACCUGGAAUGAGUGAUGCGCCAAACGCUCCGGCGCCGAAGGAUGUGGCUGCGGCCGAUUAGGUAGACGGUGGGGUAACGGCCCACCGUGCCAAUAAUCGGUACGGGUCAUGAGAGUGAGAACCCGGAGACGGAAUCUGAGACAAGAUUCCGGGCCCUACGGGGCGCAGCAGGCGCGAAACCUUUACACUGCACGACAGUGCGAUAAGGGAAUCCCAAGUGCGUAGGCAUAGAGCCUACGCUUUUGUCCACCGUAGGGAGGUGGACGAAUAAGGGCUGGGCAAGACCGGUGCCAGCCGCCGCGGUAAUACCGGCAGCCCGAGUGAUGGCCGAUCUUAUUGGGCCUAAAGCGUCCGUAGCUGGCCGCGCAAGUCUAUCGGAAAAUCCACCCGCUCAACGGGUGGGCGUCCGGUAGAAACUGCGUGGCUUGGGACCGGAAGGCGCGACGGGUACGUCCGGGGUAGGAGUGAAAUCCUGUAAUCCUGGACGGACCGCCGAUGGCGAAAGCACGUCGCGAAGACGGAUCCGACAGUGAGGGACGAAAGCUAGGGUCUCGAACCGGAUUAGAUACCCGGGUAGUCCUAGCCGUAAACAAUGCCUGUUAGGUGUG
rnacentral:rRNA from 1 species